UGCAUAAUUCGCUAAAAAGUAUUUCAAACUAUUUAACAUAUUGGUACUAUGUUUAUACUCUCUACCGCAGCUACUGUAUGAUGUCAUAGCAAUGACGUCACACUCAAGCCAAUCAGCCUUGAGGAGGAUAGACUCGUCGGACUGUAGCGGUUGUAAACAACUUGUCGCCCCGUGUGUCUGCCCGUGGCGCUAGUUAUCUGUCGAAGUUACCACUGACAAUGCCCAAAACAAGAACAACAAAGGCCCAAAGGUGGCUGUUUGGUAGUGCGCAAAGCUGCUGGUGGUGGUGGACGUCUCUGCCCUGACGCGCGGCGUGCGUCUGCUCAGUGUGGAGGUGCCGCUGACAGCGGUGCCGGCCGGACCGGCUGCCUCUCCGGCGGCCGACAUUGAGCGCGGCACGUGUCCGCCGCCGUUCGGGCCGCUGCAGCUGCUGCAGUCGGCGGCGCAGCUGUCCGUCUCCGUGUCGCUGGCCGUGCCGCUGGACCUGCUGCCGCGGCCGGCGCCGGCGCGCUGCGCCUACGGCCGCCUGCUGGCCGUCGUCUCGCAGCGCGGCCUGCAGCGCAGCGGCGUGCUGCAGCUCAUCCAGCAGCUCAACGAGCCGCCCAGCCCGGCGGCGGCCGAGGGCGCCGCGCCGCGCCGGCCCGGCGACGUCAGCACACCUGGCAUCAGCGGCUUCUGCCUGGCCGACCGUCAGCUGCACCUGCUGUUCGCCGAGGGGCGCGCCGACGCCGAGCUGGAACAGACGGCGGCCGCGCCGCGCGCUCUGCCGCGCCGCGACGCUCGACUCUGCCACCACUCGGGCCUACUGUUACGCCGUCCGCGCCAUCAGAGAGUGCUUCCGCACGCAGUGGCUGUCGGAAAAUGAACCUGCUUCCCAACGAGGCCGGCCUGCAACAACUGCUGGCCGGCUGUUGGCCGAAAAAAAACGCCUUCAACCGGAUGUCAGUUGUCAAAUCAACGCGUAUUAAUGCAUUCAAUAGGAUGGGCUUACGUAAAGCUGUAUAAUUGCAAAUAUAUAAUGGCACUGUUUUUGAUCCGUUCGGUAUGCAUUGGUAUCAUAUGAUCUCUCAUUCACAGACGAUCAGCUGCGAAGACCCAGAUCCGUAGUAGAGGGCUCAUCGAGUCCGGGUCCAGCUCCCCGUACUUCCUCCACUUUGGAAACACCGCAGCGCAGAUCACAGUUAUACAUAAUAUUUAGUUUUCAUUCACUUCAUAACCGAAGGUUGUUUGAUAGGUGAUAUGCUGCUUGAGUUGCACCCCGGUAUAUCAAUACGAAGCUUCCGUCCCUGCCACAUACCAGUGAAGGAGGCGGCGGCGGCGGCGGCCGGGGCCGGGCUGCCCUGCCCACCGACACAGUCUGUGAAAUGCCCCAACAACCUUUAAAAUUCAACAGGCUUCAUAAAUGUUUUUUUGCACCAUAUUUUCUCGCGUAUAUGAAAGCUCUAAAAUGUACAAUAUUCCUUUCAGCCACAAGCGAUAUAAAAGCUCUACAAAACGUCA